UUGUUGUUGGUUUUAUGACAAGUGUUUUCUGCCCGGUGUUUCUAGGAAUAAACGGCCGCGGUACUCUGACCGUGCAAAGGUAGCGUAGUCACUUGCCCUUUAAUUGUGGGCUGGGAUGAAGGGAAGGACCGUGGGUUUGGCUGUCUCCUUUCUAUUUUUUGAACUUGCUGUCUGUGUGAAGAAGCAUUGUUGGUGAAGAGGGACGAGAAGACCCUGUUAAGCUUUACUUUUGCUUGGUGGUUCUUUGGUGUUUAUGUUGUAUAUUAGGGCUGUUCGUAAAAAGUUUGGUUGGGGUGACCAAAGAAGAUGUGAAUCUUCUUUUUUGUUUUUACUUUCUGUUCAAUUUUGAUCCAAGAUUUUUUGAUUUAAGGAACUAGUUACUACAGGGAUAACAGCGUAAUUUUUUCAUAAAGUUCUUAUUGAAGAGGGAGAUUGCGACCUCGAUGUUGACUUGUUAUACCCUUUUUAGGUGUAGUGGCUGGGAGGGUCGGUCUGUUCGACCGUUAAAAUGACACGUGAGUUGAGUUCAGACCGGCGUGA
rnacentral:rRNA from 1 species